CUGAAGGAACCGUCUAACCGCAACAUCACUCAUCUCAGAGAUGAGAGAGGUGGAUAAAUCGGUUGAAGGCCUAGGGAAGAGAAGCUAAAUCUGAAGGAUUUGAGGAAGCAUGAGAACUAGGGAUCAAAAUUUGAUUUCGAGAAUCUAUGGCUUGGGCACCUAGUUGACCAUCACAACAUAAACUUUAUUCGGUCAUGAACAACCGAGAGCAAAGCAGCAAGAAACGCCGACAGC